ACAUCAUAUGGGACAAUCCUUACCUGUUGCUCCAUCAGGAAGGCAGAUAAGAGUAUAAUGUUUGUGUUUGAUCUGCGAUUAUGACUCUGUCUAAUCAGGACUAGAAAUCUUGAUUGCUAUUACCUGAU